rnacentral:rRNA from 1 species
UGGGGAAUAUUGCACAAUGGGCGAAAGCCUGAUGCAGCGACGCCGCGUGGAGGAUGAAGGUCUUCGGAUUGUAAACUUCUGUUAAGCGGGAAGAAAGACUGUAGGCUAAUACCCUGCAGGGAUGACGGUACCGCUAGAGAAAGCACCGGCUAACUUCGUGCCAGCAGCCGCGGUAAUACGAAGGGUGCGAGCGUUAUUCGGAAUGACUGGGCGUAAAGAGCGUGUAGGUGGCACUAUAAGUUGUUCGUUAAAGCCAACGGCUUACCCGUUGAUACGCGGACAAUACUGUAGGGCUUGAGUGCGAGAGAGAGGGGUGGAAUUCUAGGAGUAGCGGUAAAAUGCGUAGAUCUCUAGAGGAACACCGAUGGCGAAGGCAGCCCCUUGGCUCGUAACUGACACU